ACGUAGUAAACCACACGUAAACGUUUGGCUGUGGUUCUUUACCGCGUUAUGCAAACCCAUGACGUCCCCGUGUCAUCCUUUGGAUGUAUGUGAUGCCAGACAGUGUGUCCCACUGCAGGCUCCCUCCCCGAACAGGCCAGGGGUUUCCUUUCCACGAAAACAAUGUGCUGGUUCCAAGCUGGGAGCGAGUGCCUGCCUGAAUGGGGUGUCCCAAUGCAGUGUUUGACUGGUUUUCUCAAAUAGCUCUACAGCCAUGGGAGGCUCUGAUGAACCCUGAGCAAAAGGCACCUGACAAAUCUACAUCGCAGCUUGGAGACGAUGUUACGGACAUGAUUGCGUGUUCUUCAGGGGCUGUGUCCUGCUGUAUAUUCCCACGGUGCUUGGUACAGCGCUGCUCCAAACUCAAUCAGGGCCUCUGUGUGCUGCAGUUGAAUUAAUAGUAAACAAUAAAACCAAUGUACGUGCUGAAGUUGUGCUGUGAGAGAGAAACUGAAAAUAAGGCUUUCAGUGGAAGCUGCCUGGACUAGUUGCUAUUCAUGCUGUUAUUUCUCCUGCUCCAUUUACUGCUGCUCUGGCACAUGGAUGAGCACCGUGAGGACCAGCUGUGUCUCUGGGAGAUGUUGGAUAGCUUAGACCACAUCAGAAACUUGCCAGCAUGGGAGCUGGUGCUGCAUAUCUUCUGGGCAGGAGUGAAGCAAAGUUGAGGUGAAACCUGAACAGGGAAGGAGCUGAGAGACAGGAGAUAAAUUAUUCACUCUCCUUUCAUCGACACCAGGAAAUCAGACGGGACCCAGCUGAAGAAGCUCUCUCAGACUUCUCUGGAUUGGGAACUGCACAGCACCCUUACAGGAUAACCUACAGCCCCUCUCUGGGUUAAGGAUGCAGAACAUGAGCAAAGCAAGGAAGCCGAUACUGGGUGGUUGAGAUGGUAUUAGAUGCACCCACGAGGCAAUCUGUGGAAAAUAACUAAACUGCUGAAUAGUAAGAUCCAGCCUCACGACAUCCAGAGGCUGAAUAAACUGGGAAUCAGUAGAUAAAUUUGCCUUAUUAUAAGAAACAUGGGCCUUAAUCCACCACAGCCUGUGGUACAAAAGGGGAUGCACACUGAAGGCCACAACAACAGUGGAACCCAGAGCUGGGUGGUCUGGAGCUUCUCACACAUGGGGCACCCAAAGUUUGCCCGCACUGUCUCCUAGGGCUUUCAGAUGAGGAUGUGUUUGACAAACACAACACCAUGCGGAGAUUGGUGCCCCCUGGGAUGACUCCUGCCCUGCCUCCUCCCUCCCUGCCAGGGACCGUGGCACCACAACCAUCAGAAUUCCCACCGCGGGGAUGCUGACCUGUAACAUGCAAUGGUAGUGCUGCACAUUACAGUUAUAUCAAGUAACUGCAAACAUCAAUUAAACAACAUCAACCUAUA